rnacentral:rRNA from 1 species
GGCAGAGGAUGCAAGCGUUAUCCGGAAUGAUUGGGCGUAAAGCGUCUGUAGGUGGCUUUUUAAGUCCGCCGUCAAAUCCCAGGGCUCAACCCUGGACAGGCGGUGGAAACUACCAAGCUUGAGCACUGUAGAGGCAGGCGGAAUUCCGGGUGUAGCGGUGGAAUGCGUAGAGAUCCGGAAGAACACCGGUGGCGAAGGCGGCCUGCUGGGCAGUUUUGCUGACACUGAGGCGCGACAGCGUGGGGAGCAAACAGG